GUAGAAAAAUUUAUAUUUUACUCUUACUUAUUUACUUUCUUAGACAUUUUGUGGGUUUUCAUAUAUUUUUGUUUUUCCUUUUGAUUUAACUUGUGUUUCUCUCUCAGUAUGUAUGUUUGUCACCUGAAAUGCAACGAAGACAUCACACAGUAAAACAAAGAGCCUUUGAAGUCUUUAGUGUGGGCAAUUUACUCAGGAAAGAUCAGAGGGGUUAUCCAUAAAUAAAGACCUUUGACCUCACGGGUGUGAAGAUAAUAAAAGCCCAGGGGGUUAGGAGGACCAUUGUGUUUUCUGAAAGAGUUAGUUUUGGUUUACGGGGUUAAGUGGAAAUUUACAGAGAAGGAGCCUUGUAAGAAGUGGGAGGUGAUAACAGUAUAAUAAGGCUGUCUGUUUUCAGUGUGAUUCAGGUCUGUUGUGUUUCAGGGUAGCUGCUGAAACAGUGAACGCACCUCUUUAAGGAAAAUAAACUUCUUUCCUUAAAUAUAAUUUGAUUCCUUGUCUCUUACACUGAGAUGCUAUUUGUUUGUAAUUGUUUUUGCCACAACAAUUUGGUGUCAGAAGUGGGAUCUCACGGUGGUUUCUUCUGGUCCUGAGCGGAUUUGACGAAGUGAUCAUCUCAGAGCACCAGGCUCUGGUCUUACCUCGAAAAUUGAGAGAGAAGAGCCAAAACUGCUUUCAGGGCCAGAGUGACUCAGAUGAGAUCAGAAAGAACCCGGUGGCAGUAAAAGCAUCUCCGGUAAGAGACUGUAAAUUGUUUAUUUUGAGUGGUGUAAUUCGACAUGACUGUGUGUGAACCAUAGUGGCUGACCAUCGCUUUGGUGCAAGCAAAGAAGGUUUUCAAGAGGCAAAUUGUAACAUGGGGCAGAGGUUUUCAAGAGGCAAAUUUUAUGCCGAAAACUAGAAGCUUUAAUUCAAUUUUAUGCCGAAAACUAGCUUGUAGGUGGACGGAAGAGCCACAGCGAGCAGAGAACGUUUUCAAGAGGCAAAUUGUAACAAUGGUGCAGAGGUUUUCAAGAGGCAAAUUGUCAAUUUUAUGCCGAAAACUAGAAGCUUUAAUUCAAUUUUAUGCCGAAAACUAGCUUGUACCAUAGUGGCUGACCAUCGCUUUGGUGCGAGCAGAGAAGGUUUUCAAGAGGCAAAAUUGUAACACGGGCAGAGAAGGUUUUCAAGAGGCAAAUUGUAAAUUUUAUGCCGAAAACUAGAAGCUUUAAUCAAUUUUAUGCCGAAAACUUGCUUGUAGGUGGACGGAAGAGCCACAGCUGAUUAGGUGAACUAGAAUGAUUCAAUCGAGUGAAGAUUUUGAGUAAGCUUAAUUUACAGAGCAUUUUUUGCUAACCUUGCCGAUUUGAGGUGACAAAAUCGGAUCUGUUGAAGACGUUUAACAGAUUAUAGACGUGCGUCGAAGGAAAUCCAGAAGAGAUUGAAGUCAGCCAACAUGGGAUCACCAAACAACUCAUGGUGACAGACUGCGACCUGUGGCCUAUUUUUCAGCGAAACUUGAUGCUGUAGCUGCAGGACUUCCACACUGCCUGGGAGCAGUGGCAGCGGCCAAGCUGGCUGUGAUGGCCUCGAGAUAAUUUGUAGGCUACUCUGAUUUGACUUUAAUGGUUCCACACGCAGUAUCCAUGAUUUUGCAAGAAUAGAGAACGUCACAUUUGUCUACAGCCCGAUGGCUGAGGUAUCAUACAAUUUUGUUGGACAUGCCAAACAUAACUGUAAAACGAUGCACAACUUUGAAUCCUGCCACCCUUCUGCCCACACAGGAGGAUGGUGAGGAACAUCACUGUUGUCUGUCAGCACUCGAACAGGUGUGCACACCACGUCCAGACCUUUAAGACAUACCGCUUGAUAAUUGUGACAAUGUCCUCUUUGUGGAUGGGUCUGCCUCGAAAGAUCCACAAACAGGGCAGAAUAAAGUGGGUUAUGCUGUAACGACUGAAUUUGAAACUCUGAAAUCUGACAAAUUACCAUCACACUAUUCUGUGCAGGCAGCAGAACUGGUUGCAUUGACCGAAGUGUGUAAACUGACAGCAGAUAAAUGCGUGACGAUAUACACAGACUAGCGAUACACUUUUGGGGUCACGCAUGACUUUAGUGCUUUGUGGAAGCACAGAAAAUUAUUGAAAUUGGAAGGGAGGCCGAUACUAAACGCGUCUCUGGUAUCGGACAUGCCCGAGGCUAUUCUAUUGCCAGACAAAAUUGCGAUUUUUAAGUGCGCAGCGCAUACUAAUGAUGAAAGUUUCACCUCAACAGGAAAUGCUAGAGCUGAUAUGGCUGAGGAUCAGAAUGAAGAUAAUAGUAAAAGAGCCACUUGCGCACAAGUUGACAUUAAUCUUUACAUUUCUCCUUGUUUACAGAGCAUGCAGUCUUUUUCCACAGGAGCUGAGAAAAAACAACUGGAAGGCAUCAGGCUGUUUAUAGCGUGUGGAGAUCCGUUGUUGGAACGCCCUGUUUUCCCAAACAUUUCUUUUUUAAACAUUAUGCUAAGUUGACACAUGGGUUAGACCAUGUAUCAAAAGGGGGAAUGAUUGCACAGAUUAAAUAAUUGUGGUUUACCAAGGGCUUUCUCAAUAUUCGCUGA